rnacentral:rRNA from 1 species
UACGGAGGGUGCAAGCGUUAUCCGGAUUCACUGGGUUUAAAGGGUGCGUAGGUGGGCAUGUAAGUCAGUGGUGAAAUCUCCGGGCUUAACCCGGAAACUGCCAUUGAUACUAUAUGUCUUGAAUACCAUGGAGGUGAGCGGAAUAUGUCAUGUAGCGGUGAAAUGCUUAGAUAUGACAUAGAACACCAAUUGCGAAGGCAGCUCACUACGCGGUUAUUGACACUGAGGCACGAAAGCGUGGGGAGCAAACAGG